CCAAUAGCGUAUAUUAAAGUUGUUGCAGUUAAAAAGCUCGUAGUUGAACUUCGGGAUCAGUAAGUCGGUCGUGCCUACGGUACGUACUGGUUUUACUGGUUCCUUCCUUCUGACGAACCAUCAUGUCAUUAAUUUGGUGUGGUGGGGAAUCAGGACUGUUACUUUGAAAAAAUUAGAGUGUUUAAAGCAGGCUCGCGCUUGAAUACAUUAGCAUGGAAUAAUGAAAUAGGACGUUUGAUCCUAUUUUGUUGGUUUCUAGGAUCGACGUAAUGAUUAAUAGGGAUAGUUGGGGGCAUUAGUAUUCAAUUGUCAGAGGUGAAAUUCUUGGAUUUAUUGAAGACUAACUACUGCGAAAGCAUUUGCCAAGGAUGUUUUCAUUAAUCAAGAACGAAAGUUAGGGGAUCGAAGACGAUCAGAUACCGUCGUAGUCUUAACCAUAAACUAUGCCGACUAGGGAUCGGAUGAUGUUAAUUUUUUUAAUGACUCAUUCGGCGCCUUACG
rnacentral:rRNA from 1 species